CGUAUAUCACGGUUCACUCAACUGUGGUUGACUGUUUUAUUAUUAUACAAGUGAAACAAAUACAAAUAAAAACUCAAUUGUUCCCUGCAGCCAAAGGCCCGUUGUAAAGUAUUUUACACCCAGGGAAUAUGAAACGUACCUCCGACUAGUCAGUCAUCGUAUUCUUACGCAAGGGUCAUGUAUACUAUGAUAAUAUCCUACGAGAUAUUAACUGAUAAAUUUCUUUGUAGACUAAAGCCGGACUAACCUAAAUGUGUACCGUAAAAAGGGGAAGGCACAAUAGACCACACUCUUAUGCAUUCUGUGGAGUGCCACAGGAGAUCAAGCAAUAAGUAAAAGAUCAGUCAAAUCAAAUCAAAUUUUGACUAUUUAAUUGGUCUUAUAUCUAGUAUUCCAAAAAACUGCUAACAUCAUUGUGGACAAAGCAAGGAGACUGUAAUAGUCAACAGUUACAAACUUACUUACCAAACUGUCUGUUAUUUAGUUAUGUCAAACUAGGAUAACAAAAUGAAAUCUUGGAAAAAAAAGCUGUCUUGGUGAAAUUAUAUUGAAUAGCAAAUGUUUUUAAGAAAUCAAUACCUACAUAAAUGGUCAACUUGCUGCAAAACUUCCUAAUGCGAUGUGAAAGCAUCAACAAAGUUAUUGAGUUGAAUUGAAGCAACAGAGUAUGCGGAUUCUUUAUUAAUGUGGUAUAGACGCUAUCUUCAAUGCUGGCAAGUUUUGUUUUGCAUAUUUUAGAUCAGUUUUUAUAAAUGCUUGAAAUGACAAAUAUAAAUACAAAUUUAUUUUUUUCUUGUAUUUUUAAAACAUACGACUUUAAGUCAAUUAUAGUAAUUAAUAGAAAGCAAAAAUAAAUGGUUAAAG